GACGAACGCUGGCGGCGUGCCUAAUACAUGCAAGUCGAACGCUUCUUUCCUCCCGAGUGCUUGCACUCAAUUGGAAAGAGGAGUGGCGGACGGGUGAGUAACACGUGGGUAACCUACCCAUCAGAGGGGGAUAACACUUGGAAACAGGUGCUAAUACCGCAUAACAGUUUAUGCCGCAUGGCAUAAGAGUGAUAGGCGCUUUCGGGUGUCGCUGAUGGAUGGACCCGCGGUGCAUUAGCUAGUUGGUGAGGUAACGGCUCACCAAGGCCACGAUGCAUAGCCGACCUGAGAGGGUGAUCGGCCACACUGGGACUGAGACACGGCCCAGACUCCUACGGGAGGCAGCAGUAGGGAAUCUUCGGCAAUGGACGAAAGUCUGACCGAGCAACGCCGCGUGAGUGAAGAAGGUUUUCGGAUCGUAAAACUCUGUUGUUAGAGAAGAACAAGGACGUUAGUAACUGAACGUCCCCUGACGGUAUCUAACCAGAAAGCCACGGCUAACUACGUG
rnacentral:rRNA from 1 species